rnacentral:rRNA from 1 species
AUGAAAAAAUUCAUCAAAACUCAAGUACGGUCCUGCUUGGUGUGUCAGCAAGCUAAACCAGAGAGAGUUCAAUACCCUAGAUUGUUAUCUCCUCUGCCAGUACCUUCCAAAGCUUGGGACACAAUGUUCAUGGAUUUUAUAUUAGGUCUUCCUACAUCCUUCCAAUAUAAUUGCAUACUGGUGGUGAUUGACAAGAUCCCUAAAUAUGGCCAUUUGAUUCCUCUCUCACACCCCUUCAAUGCUCAGAAAGUGGAUGAAGUUUUCAUAGAUAAUGUGUACAAGUUACAUGGUAUGCCCAGGCUAAUAAUAUGUGAUAGGGACCCCAUUUUCACUAGUUCCUUCUAG